GUGGGGAAUAUUGGACAAUGGGCGAAAGCCUGAUCCAGCCAUGCCGCGUGUGUGAAGAAGGUCUUCGGAUUGUAAAGCACUUUAAGUUGGGAGGAAGGGCAGUAAGUUAAUACCUUGCUGUUUUGACGUUACCGACCGAAUAAGCACCGGCUAACUUCGUGCCAGCAGCCGCGGUAAUACGAAGGGUGCAAGCGUUAAUCGGAAUUACUGGGCGUAAAGCGCGCGUAGGUGGUUUUGUAAGUUGGAGGUGAAAUCCCCGGGCUCAACCUGGGAACUGCCUCCAAAACUGCAUGACUAGAGUACGGUAGAGGGUAGUGGAAUUUCCUGUGUAGCGGUGAAAUGCGUAGAUAUAGGAAGGAACACCAGUGGCGAAGGCGACUACCUGGACUGAUACUGACACUGAGGUGCGAAAGCGUGGGGAGCAAACAGGAUUAGAAACCCGGGUAGUCC
rnacentral:rRNA from 1 species